AAGUCGUAACAAGGUUUCCGUAGGUGAACCUGCGGAAGGAUCAUUAACACUUUUUUUUUCAGUAAUGAAAAAAAAAAUACACCCAACUGUGCUCAUUUCUUUUUUCCACACCCUUAACCCAUUUUUGUAACCAAUGACUGACAUUUUAAAAGUUUUGUGUGUAGACUAAACAUCUGCAUCUUGACUUUGUAAUUGUUUUCACAACUAAUUACAACCUCAAACACAACUCUUAACAAUGGAUAUCUUGGCUCUC
rnacentral:misc_RNA from 1 species